rnacentral:misc_RNA from 1 species
UUACACUUGCUAUCCAUCCUACAGGCUACAGCGCGUACAUCUUCGUCUUGUACUCGCUGUUAAGUAUCUCCUCGUCCGAGUCGACCGAUCGGGACCACGAGCCGCGGGACUGGCUCGCGGAGGCCCUCCUGAUCUUCCUGGUGUUCUUCUCCUCCAGCCUGUGCGCGACGAUGCAGUAGCACAUGGAGCCGAGGGUAGUGAGCAUGAUCGCGGCGCCGAUGCCCAUGGUGCACCAGGCCAGCCACCAGUCGUCGCGCCCCACCACCACGUAGGUCAGCGCGAUGAAGGCCACCGAGAUGAAGAGGCACGCCAGCCACAUGAGCUUGUUCAUCACGAACACCAUCCGCUUCUUCGCCCUCCGCUCCACCACGAUCAGCGAGGUCUGCACCACGACCACCGCGAGCGAGAUGAAGAGGGCCAGCGCGUCGAAGACCAGGAAGACGAUGAACGCCGGGUUGCUCGCCACGUACGCCUGCCCCAGGGACAUGCCCGGAGGCGCCUGGCUCAGCUCCUCCACGAAGUUUCCCGGGACCGUGAAUAUGGCGGCGAAGGCGACCGUGGCGAUGAGCACCGCGACGACGGUGUUGGAGUUGAUGGCGUUGUUCAGCCCGCCGAUGUGGAGCUUCUCCAGCCUCUUCUUGAUCUGGUUGACUUGCAUCUUGGUCUGACGUGUUUGCUUGAACUGGGACUGGACGUCGUGUCUGAUAUCGCUGACUGUUUCCUUCAGCUGCUUCGCCGAAUUCGGAGGAUGUACUUGCUGCUUUGCGGCUUCUCCACCAGCCUCUUUCAGGAUGUUCACGAGUUCUACACUGUCCAUUUUCUCGGCAAUGGCAAAUGCAGUCUCUCCAGACCUGUUAACUGCAUUGACAUCGAUCCCCUCAACUGAUAACAGAGUCUGCACUAUCUGUAAGGAAUUACAGUCAUAGAUAGAUGAGCAUUAAGGAAGACAAAAAAAACUAUAACAGGC